rnacentral:lncRNA from 1 species
CACUAACCUAUAUAAUUUUAGGCCCAAAAUAAUACCCAUUCCAUUAAUCAAAUAAUUAAUCCCCAAUUCCCAAACAUUUUCCAUUCCUAAUGUGCAAAAUGAACUCACACAAACAGCCAACAUUUUCCAUGCCGGUUUGUGAUGUUUGUCCCUGCUCGUAGCCAUCGGCCGAACGAAAUUGUUGAUUACCGACUGGCCCGACUCAAGCCUGCUACCUGCCUACCGAUUCGCCUCCUCAAACCUACCUGCCGACGACUUGGGUUAGGUUUUUAGGGUAAGUAAUUUACUAUUUAGUUUCUUGUUCAAUUCAUCAAUUGUUUGUCUUUUAAUUUGAUUUCCAGAAACAGAAAGUAAAUGUGAAAUAAAUAAUGAAUAGCUUGGAGAAGUAGAAAAAAUUGGUUUUCCGAAUUUCCGUUUUCAGAAUUAUCGCCCCUGCUCGCUAGACUGGUGGUAAAAUAAGAAAGGCUCCUAAUUGGCUAAUUCCUAAACUUAUUUGGGCUUGCUUUACUUUGGCAAUGGCGGUGUGGUGAAUUGUAUAAUUU